AAAUAAGAAACAAAAUUUGUAUUUAGUUUCGACCUAAAAUUAUGGAAGGACAUUCCCUUAUUUU
rnacentral:tRNA from 1 species